rnacentral:lncRNA from 1 species
UCACGUUGUAUGUGGGCUUCAAUACUAAACGAUGGAUUUACAGUCCUUCCCUGCCUCCAUAGUUGAGGCAAGAUCAUCAACCUCUGUGUCUAUCUGUGAGUUCAAACACCAAUUGAAGACAAAACGUCGUAGCAAUCGCGAAGAAAAAGAUGGCCAGAAUCAAGCGAACAACGGCCAAGUAAAGAGCCGAUGCUGAUGAUAAUUUGUGAUCUUGGUCGUGAAUCAUAAUCUCAACUAGAUAAAAUCCUAAGCACGUAGAACCUGCGAAGAGAAUAUAGACCAAAAUUCCCCAACCUUGAGUCCCGGUCAAACAAUUUUCCUUCUCCUUCUCCACAUCCAUCAUGUAUUCAGUUCUGCAAAUAAAGUGACAAUAAUUUUGAAGCAGUGGAAACAAAUUAAAAUACUUGAGGCUUUUAUAAUUAUUCAAAUACACAAUUUUUGUUAGGAUAUUGACUACAAAAAAAGGCACUAAGCUAUUAAGAAUUUAACGAAUUCAUGCACGAUCCUUAAGGGUUUCACACAUUAGUACAUAACUCAAAUAAAAUCUAUACAAAUUAAUGUUGUCCUCAUCAACUAGUCUAUACACUUGUCUGCAUUCACCAUCCCCCUUAUUGAACCAAAAAACAAUAUUAGUUGGAUUAAAUCCAGACUUGCACUAAGACAAGUGCAUAGACAAGAGGACACUCCAUCCCCUUAAUUUAGAUGAAUUUAUUGUGUAACUAUCUUAUCGUUUGUAAAGGAAAAAAGUAGCACCCAAGAAAAUUAAAGAACCAAGGAGUAAAAUAUAUUCAUUCCUUAGAAGUACCACAUCAGACAUGCAUAACUAUUAUAAAUGGUUAUAUGAAAACUCAAAAAAUAAACUAGAAAAAGAUUUCCAUGUCCAAACUCCGGACAGGUUGAAAGUAGAGAAACUUACUUUUACACAGGAAGCUCUACUCAAGACUAAAAAGACCGUCUCUGGAAAUUUUUCGAGACUCAAAAACUGCUGCACAGACAUUUGAGUUCAUAAACAAAUUGUGGAUAAGGAUUUUGGAUUCAGUACGCUUGUUGUGUGUUUGAUUUAAUUCAUAAGAAUAGUUACAAAUCACUACCGUCACAAUAUUUACUUUGUUUAUACCACAUUUAGGGCCUUGCAUUUAGAUCUAGUACAAAUACUCG